rnacentral:sRNA from 1 species
CAAAAACAGAAAAAAAA